AGAGUUUGAUCAUGGCUCAGAACGAACGUUGGCGGUGUGGAUUAGGCAUGCAAGUCGAACGAAUGGUCGUUGUGUAGCAAUACAUGAUGGCCGGAAGUGGCGAAAGGGGCAGUAAUGUAUAGGUAACCUACCCUGGGGAUGGGGAUAGCCGUUCUAACGAGCGGGUAAUACCCAGCGAUUUGGCGAGGCGGCAUCGCUUUGCCAAGAAAUGAGUUUCGCCUCGGGAGGGGCUUAUAUCGUAUUAGCUAGUUGGUGAGGUGAUGGCUUACCAAGGCUUAGAUGCGUAGCGGGUGUGAGAGCACGACCCGCGCCACUGGCACUGAGACACUGGCCAGACACCUACGGGUGGCUGCAGUCGAGGAUCUUUGGCAAUGAGCGCAAGCUUGACCAAGCGACACCGCGUGGAUGAUGAAGGCCUUCGGGUUGUAAAAUCCUGUCGAGGGGGACGAAGCCGCAAGGUUGACCGAUCCCUGGAGGAAGGGCGGGCUAAGUUCGUGCCAGCAGCCGCGGUAAGACGAACUGCCCAAACGUUGUUCGGAAUCACUGGGCUUAAAGGGCGCGUAGGCGGCGAUACAAGUCAGGGGUGAAAUCCGGCAGCUCAACUGUCGAAGUGCCUUUGAUACUGUAUCGCUCGAGGGAGGUAGGGGUCUGUGGAACUUCUGGUGGAGCGGUGAAAUGCGUUGAUAUCAGAAGGAACGCCGGUGGCGAAAGCGACGGACUGGACCUUUUCUGACGCUGAGGCGCGAAAGCUAGGGGAGCAAACGGGAUUAGAUACCCUGGUAGUCC
rnacentral:rRNA from 1 species